AGCGAACGCUGGCGGCAGGCUUAACACAUGCAAGUCGAGCGGGCCUUUCGGGGUCAGCGGCGGACGGGUGAGUAACGCGUGGGAACGUGCCCUCUGGUUCGGAAUAACUCAGGGAAACUUGAGCUAAUACCGGAUACGCCCUUUUGGGGAAAGGCUUGCUGCCGGAGGAUCGGCCCGCGUCUGAUUAGCUAGUUGGUGAGGUAACGGCUCACCAAGGCGACGAUCAGUAGCUGGUCUGAGAGGAUGAUCAGCCACACUGGGACUGAGACACGGCCCAGACUCCCUAGGGAGGGAAGAAGGGGGGAUAUUUGGCCAUUGGGGGAAAGCCGGACCCGCCCAUGCCGGGGGAUGAAGGAAGGCCUUAGGUUGGUAAAGCCUUUUUUCCCGGACGAUAAUGACGGUACCGGAGGAAUAAGCCCCGGCUAACUUCGUG
rnacentral:rRNA from 1 species